CCUACGGGAGGCAGCAGUAGGGAAUCUUCCACAAUGGGCGAAAGCCUGUUGGGGCAACGCCGCGUGGGUGAAGAAGGUCUUCGGAUCGUAAAACCCUGUUGUUAGAGAAGGAAGUGCGUGAGAGUAACUGUUCACGUUUCGACGGUAUCUAACCAGAAAGCCACGGCUAACUACGUGCCAGCAGCCGCGGUAAUACGUAGGUUGCAAGCGUUAUCCGGAUUUAUUGGGCGUAAGGGGAACGCAGGCGGUCUUUUAAGUCUGAUGUGAAAGCCUUCGGCUUAACCGGAGUAGUGCAUUGGAAACUGGGAGACUUGAGUGCAGAAGAGGAGAGUGGAACUCCAUGUGUAGCGGUGAAAUGCGUAGAUAUAUGGAAGAACACCAGUGGCGAAAGCGGCUCUCUGGUCUGUAACUGACGCUGAGGUUCGAAAGCGUGGGUAGCAAACAGGAUUAGAUACCCCGGUAGUC
rnacentral:rRNA from 1 species